CUGCUUAUCAAAAACACAGGUAAGAAAAUGAUGAUGUGCAAUGACUGUGAACAACAGCCUCCUCAGUAGAGUAAUGCAGCCUGUUGCUUGCAUGGGUUGCCCUAAGGGAUGCUGGAGAUCACC
ensembl:snoRNA SNORA70 Small nucleolar RNA SNORA70